rnacentral:rRNA from 1 species
GACGAACGCUGGCGGCGUGCUUAACACAUGCAAGUCGAACGGAAAGGCCCUGCUUUUGUGGGGUGCUCGAGUGGCGAACGGGUGAGUAACACGUGAGUAACCUGCCCUUGAUUUUGGGUUAACUUCAGGAAACUGGGGCUAAUACCGUAUAGGAGCUCCUGCUGCAUGGUGGGGGUUGGAACGUUUCGGCGGUUGGGGAUGGACUCGCGGCUUAUCAGCUUGUUGGUGGGGUAGUGGCUUACCAAGGCUUUGACGGGUAGCCGGCCUGAGAGGGUGACCGGCCACAUUGGGACUGAGAGACGGCCCAGACUCCUACGGGAGGCAGCAGUGGGGAAUAUUGCACAAUGGGCGGAAGCCUGAUGCAGCAACGCCGCGUGCGGGAUGACGGCCUUCGGGUUGUAAACCGCUUUCGCCUGUGACGAAGCGUGAGUGACGGUAAUGGGUAAAGAAGCACCGGCUAACUACGUG